GGUCCGGUAGCUCAGCUGAAUAGAGCAACUGCCUUCUAAGCAGUAGGUCACAGGUUUGAGUCCUGUCCGGAUCACCA
rnacentral:tRNA from 1 species